UAUUGGUCAAUGUACGAGAGUCUGAACCAGCCAAGUACCGCGAAGGAUGACUGCCCUAUGGGUUGUAAACUUCUUUUAUACGGGAAUAAAGUGAGGCACGUGUGCCUUUUUGUAUGUACCGUAUGAAUAAGGAUAGGCUCACUUCGUUCCAGCCGCCGCGGUAAUACGGAGGAUCCGAGCGUUAUCCGGAUUUAUUGGGUUUAAAGGGAGCGUAGGCGGACGCUUAAGUCAGUUGUGGAAGUUUGCGGCUCAACCGUAAAAUUGCAGCUGAUACUGGGUGUCUUGAGUACAGUAGAGGCAGGCGGAAUUCGUGGUGUAGCGGUGAAAUGCUUAGAUAUCACGAAGAACUCCGAUUGCGAAGGCAGCCUGCUGGACUGUAACUGACGCUGAUGCUCGAAAGUGUGGGUAUCAAACAGG
rnacentral:rRNA from 1 species